GAUGAACGCUGGCGGCGUGCCUAAUACAUGCAAGUCGAGCGAACAGACGAGGAGCUUGCUCCUCUGAUGUUAGCGGCGGACGGGUGAGUAACACGUGGAUAACCUACCUAUAUGACGGGGAUAACUUCGGGAAACCGGAGCUAAUACCGGAUAACAUGUUGAACCGCAUGGUUCAACAGUGAAAGACGGUCUUGCUGUCACUUAUAGAUGGAUCCGCGCCGCAUUAGCUAGUUGGUAAGGUAACGGCUUACCAAGGCAACGAUGCGUAGCCGACCUGAGAGGGUGAUCGGCCACACUGGAACUGAGACACGGUCCAGACUCCUACGGGAGGCAGCAGUAGGGAAUCUUACGCAAUGGGCGAAAGCCUGACGGAGCAACGCCGCGUGAGUGAAGAAGGUCUUCGGAUCGUAAAACUCUGUUAUUAGGGAAGAACAAAUGUGUAAGUAACUAUGCACGUAUUGACGGUACCUAAUGAGAAAGCCACGGCUAACUACGUG
rnacentral:rRNA from 1 species